AUGGCAGUUGUGGCUGUGCGCGCACGCAAGCGGCUGCGCGCGACACGUCGGUGUGAGAAAUCGGCAAGCCUUUUCCCACAUCGUUCAAUUGAUUAUCUAAGAUCAGAUAGAACGAGCCUUCCACAAGGACAGUGGCGCAUCGAGAGGAUGGUGGACAGUGGCGCAUCGCCGGCGCGGAUGAGGAGAUUGGAGCAGAGAGGGUGGAGAUGGAGCCGUGCGGGGCUGGAGAAGGAGAUUGGAGAAGAGAGGAUGGUGGACAGUGGCGCAUCGCCGGCGCGGAUGAGGAGAUUUGAGAAGAUAGGAUAG
rnacentral:rRNA from 1 species